GUAAGUUGGUACGCGUCAAAAUAACAUCCACAUGCAUGGCAGGAGCCAAAAGUUUCCCAGCAGAACAUCGCCCGAAGCAUCGCGCCGCCUCCGCCGCCUUCCCACGGUGCAUCCUGGUGCCAUGCGUUCCCUUUGACUUCGUUUAACAUUCGGAAAACAGCGUACACAUUUUUUCUUACUACACACAUUAUAGCGGCUUCAAACUAGCAUUAAUACUCGUAGCUACUACUGAGAUUUGGUCCAUGUACAUUAGUUAACAAUGAAAAUGACUACAAGCACAAGAGAGCGCACUGACUCGCAGCCGACUCCAAAAAAAUAUGACCCGAGAUGAAUGGCAAUAAAUAAUGAAAAGCAUAAAUCUAGUGGACUUUUCUUCUCCCAUCAUGAGCUACAAUGAGCAGAGGAUCUGAUGAUGCACAGGGAGUCUUUCCCUCUGCUCUCUGAGCCAUGACUAAUUUGAUGAGAUAUUUUCAGCUUAGCAACACUGCUUUAUAUACAGUACUGAUCUAUAGGCUUGUGUAAGUUUAUGAUACCCAGUGAGGUUUAUUCGGAUCACGGAGCAUCGGCAAGCCUGACGCUACCACAGUGGCUUAUUGCUCUCGAUCUGGAUUGAUAUGCACAGGCAUUUAAGUCAUUAUAUCAGAUUAUAAUAUAUAAUAAAUCGACGCUUUCGGGAAGCCCCGCCACCUUUCCCCCUCGACUCACACGGGCCCGCCCGCUUUCCGUCCGGGAUACGGUUUUAUCCUGAAAAAUGUCUGUUAACCGUAAAGUAUAUAAUUAACACCAUUCAUUAAUGCUGAUGAAAACAACCUCCAUUCGGUUUUCAGCUGAAAGAGGGAAAAAAAAGAAUUUGAUCUAAAAAAAAAAUAAUAAUAAAUUAAACAAUGAAGUGUAAAAUUUCACACAUUUUUUUAGAUCAUGUUAAUGCUGAUGAUAAUUUAAAAACUAGCUUAAAAAUAUCUACCGAUUUUAUUUAUUUAUUUAUUUAUGUUUGAUUGAUUGUUUGUUUAUUUCCUCCCCAUUUGUGAUCCGAGGCAGUUCUCAGCCGCACAGCUGAUUUUAUUAUUACCCCUAAAAGCAGAAAUGACGGAAACGCUCUUUUUCCUGUUGGUUCGGGAUGAUUUCGAUGACGCACUAUAAAUAUAACUGCUGUAGCUUAAGAUUUUGGAGAGAACUUCUAGCGUUUGUGUUUUGUAUGACGAGUGACCUUGCGUUAGAUAACGUGGUGACCUGAAGCGAGCACGAGGUCUGCCUCGAGAAGGUCCGAAGGAAAAUAAAGAGAGAAAAAAAAAGAGAAAAAAGAAAGUGGUCAAGAGAAGAGUGUCUGAGGGAGCGGGAUUAAAGGACAGCUGUGCACACACCUCUAGACUGAACAAGAUGUCCUAGAGUACACACACACACACACACACACACACACACACGUCCCAUCAUCAUAAUAUCAGGUUACAUUCAGCUAUUUAAAGACGGACUGCGAAUCAGAGAUGCGAAUCACUUUUGUUCUCUAAAUGAAAGGGACAUGAACGAUUUAUUAGCACUAGCAUUUUGCUCAGCUCAUGUACAGGUUCUGUAAAACACACACACACACACACACACACACACACAAAACUAUUAUAAAAGUAUAACAAUGUGCUUUCCAUUUGAGCAGCAAAGAGUAUUUUGAAGCGAAAUGCAGAAUACAAAUUCACAGCAUACAAAAAUACAGAAUACAAAAACACAAAGCCACUAUUCCGGUUCAUCUGAUGUAUUGUUCCAAAAAUCAAAUGAUUUAAAAAAAAAAAAAAAAAAAAAAGUUUCAUACACAUCUAAAAUAAUCCUCCAGGUGGAAGCUAAGGAGAGAAACAGAGUGUCGACUAGCUGUGACGCAGUACAGACCGUGACGUCAGCACAUCAGCCGCUGGCUUUAUUUUCCACCUUUAUUCCGGAUAACCCUCCUCCUCCUCCUCUUCCUCCUCCUCAUUAUUAUUGUAACAGGCUUCAACAUUAUUAACAAAAACAAAAAAAAAAAUCUUCAUUUCAAAUGAAACUCUCAGUUCAUCCUUUGUUCACAAGAGAUGAGAUUAAAGCUCGAGGUGAAAACGCCUGUGUGUUUUGACUGUCUGCCUGUGAACAGAUUAGGGCUGGGCGAUAUGGCUGAAAACUGUAUCACGAUAUCGGCGUUUCAUAUCGGUCGAUAUCGAUAAUUAUUGAUAUUUUUUAAUGACCCGUAUAAAAUAAGGACCAGGAGAAAAAAUAUAUUACAUUUCAACAUAUUUUGCUCUGAUCAUAAUCCCCAGCCCUAGAACAGAGUAUUAAAAAUGUAAAGUGAUUUAUUUAGUUUGCUUUGUAAAGUUUGGAGAACCUUCAAAGCCUUGAGCACAGGUUCAGUCAUGAUACAGCAUCCCUGGAGCUCAAGGGCCCAACAGUGGCAGCUUGGCAAUGCUGAGGCUUGAACCCUGAUCCUCUGUUCAACAACCCAGUGCCUUAACUGCUUGAGCCACCAAACCAAUGAACAAAUAUCCUUAGACAAGUUCUCCACCGUGGGGAUUUGUUUAGGAUACAGAUUAGCUACGAAUCUCAGUUUGGGGAGCAAGAUGUCUCGUGAGGCUUUCUUUGCUUAGGAGAACCCAGAGAAUAAAACAUCAUUUCAGUUGAUCAUUUUCAUUGAAGGAUUUGUGGUUUCUUAGACACGAGCCAAGACCUAAAACACUUGUCUAUAACGCCACCUCGAGGCCACCUUGACCCUGUUUCAUGUCUUAUGGUUGGUCAGGAUGAUCAGAUUUGAAGGAGAAGAGAACCGAGUGUUUGGCCCCCCCCCAAAAAUGACAAUCCGUCUGAAUGACACUAAAGCAGGGUUUUACUCCAUAAAAAGUUCCGAUCUGGCAACCUUUCACAUUCCCGUGUUGUCCUGCACUCACAGACGACAGUAAAGACAAAUUGUUUUCAAUCUAAUACUAUUCUUAAUUCUGAUUCUAAACCUACAUAACCCCCUCAAAGCAUUCUUACUUAAUAGUCUACAAAGUUAAGCUAAUCAAAAGGGAGCGUUAGGGGAGGGUUGUCAACAAACCCGGGGGGGUUGGGGUGUUUGACACGUUUUGGGAUCAACACCUGCAUGCUGCGCUUGAUGUCAGUCGCAGUCACGUAUAAAAACCACUGUGUGUUAUUUCAGAGGGAAGAUGAAAUCACUUGUGUUGUUCUCCUGACCUGUGUACGGUUAUACCGUGCCGUCAUGAGCUUAACACUGAUCUCUGGAGAUGAUGGAUGUUUACACGAUUGGACGCUGCUACACUAUGUACUUCCUUCUGAGUCAUGUCUGUUUGGUUUUGUGACUCAGUUGGAAGAAACAAACCUCGGUCUGAGUUCCCACUCCAUGACUUGAGAAGAGAUUUGAUGCUGAUCUCAAAGAAAACGGAAUCCUGCAGACUCAACAUGACGUAACCGCAGAGGUGUCGAGUAAAAACACAACUCGCACGAGUCCCCGUUCGUCUCCUGCG